rnacentral:lncRNA from 1 species
CGACACAAUAGGUUUGACAUCAUCAAGCACCUAACCUCAGAAUGAUGAUUUAUUUUGUGGUAUACGUCAACAUUCAAAAGAUUCCUUCUUUCCUUUUAUGUAACUCUUUAAUUUUAUUUUCCAUGUUUAAAAUCAGAAGAUUACAGGAUAUUUUGAUUAAUUCAUAUGUCUUUAAUUUAAGAUCAUAAAAUUUAAAGUUGUUUAUUACUUUUUUAAUAUAAAUACCUUUUUUUUACUCUAUAAUAAGUUAUAAUCAGACAAACAAAUUAAAACAAAUUUAAGUGUUAGUUUCUAUUGACUACCAGUACACUGCUGUAUUAAAUCUCAGAAUGCAGGACAAUAUGUUAAACACAACAAAGUUUGGAACUUGGAUAGACUUACCAAUUAAUUAUGACCUAAACAUAUACUUGAAUGUGCAUGACAUAAAUGAUAGAAUUAGGUGACCGUACAAGAAUAUAAUCACAUUACAGCUCUUUGAAAUUUAAUACCUAAAUUAUUACUCGAAUUGAAUGAUGUGAAAAUAUAAAUUCAUGCACCCAUAUAGGAACCAAAUUGGACGAAGGACUAAAAUUUGGGUCCCUUUUAGCAACUGGUGCCAGCAGUACCUAAUUCGAGUACCUAAUUUUAGAGUGAGAGACUGAGAUUUAGGCCACUUAAAAAUUGAAUACUAAUAGAAGAAAAUGACAAUCUCAAGGUUUUUAUUUGUAAAAAUAAAAAUCUCUCGUAAAAAGAUCAUAAUUUAAAAAAAAAAAUUGUAAAUGACCUCCUGCCCCUCGCACAAAAAAAAAGGCGAAGAAAAAUUUCAACGAUCCAACAACUAAUUAAUGACUUUAUAGCGAUUAAUGAACAUCCACGAGAAGUGACUAAUACAAAUUAUUCUCUUCAAAAUCUAGUGGAAGUUUCCUAUAUAUGAAAACGAGAUUUAUUGGCUUAGUACCAAAACGAAUGAAAAUCUUUGUGGAAAUAUUAGUUCACAUAUUAAGUAAAAGUUAAUAGUGACAGAGAAGUAUAAACCCUACCUCCAGAAAAGCAGUAGAUAAGAAGAGUGGUCAACUCCAACAGACAACUUCAUAAUCAUGCAAGGUCACCUUUUAUUUUGGGCAUGUGUGUGUGUGACUUAUUCUAUAGGUGUCCAAAUCUAGAUAAUAGUACAAGACAAUGUAAUAUAUUCACCUAAUAAUUGAACCAUAUACUAAAUCAUUUAAACUUAUGUCUAUUCCAGAUUCAAUAUUUUUGCCAAUUAUUGUCGGUGUAGAUCAUAUAUAGUUUCAAUAUCCCAGUGUAUUUAACUCAAUAUCAAUUUUCAACAGAAUACGUAAGUCUAAUAAGUUUUGACUGCAUUAUGGAAUAUAAUGGGGAAAACAAUACUCCUGUUUAAUUUUAUGACUCUUUCGCUUCCAAUUCGAAAAGAAUGACAUUUUUUUUUUAUUUAAAUGAUGUUCAAUCAAUAUUUUGCAUUUUACUCUUAACGACAUGUUACUAGAAUCACAGAGGUAAUAACAUUUUAGAAUCACAGAGGUAAUAACAUUUUAAAGAUCUGAGGAUGCUUUUGAUUUGUUUUAGAAGUCUAUAAUUCCUUCUUAAACUUUGUAUUCAGUCAAAUAUCACCCCCCUCCCACCCCACCCCCACCAAAAAAAAAAAAAUAGACCGAAGGAAGUGAAACAGAAAACUUACGAUUAGUGGCCCUAG